rnacentral:rRNA from 1 species
GAUGAACGCUGGCGGCGUGCCUAAUACAUGCAAGUCGAGCGAACAGACGAGGAGCUUGCUCCUCUGACGUUAGCGGCGGACGGGUGAGUAAAACGUGGAUAAACUACCUAUAAGACUGGGAUAAAUUCGGGAAAACGGAGCUAAUAACGGAUAAUAUAUUGAACCGCAUGGUUCAAUAGUGAAAGACGGUUUUGCUGUCACUUAUAGAUGGAUCCGCGCCGCAUUAGCUAGUUGGUAAGGUAACGGCUUACCAAGGCGACGAUGCGUAGCCGACCUGAGAGGGUGAUCAGCCACACUGGAACUGAGACACGGUCCAGACUCCUACGGGAGGCAGCAGUAGGGAAUCUUCCGCAAUGGGCGAAAGCUUGACGGAGCAACGCCGCGUGAGUGAUGAAGGUCUUCGGAUCGUAAAACUCUGUUAUUAGGGAAGAACAAAUGUGUAAGUAACUAUGCACGUCUUGACGGUACCUAAUCAGAAAGCCACGGCUAACUACGUG